rnacentral:tRNA from 1 species
GCCUGGGUGGCUCAGUCAGUUGAGCGUCUGACUCCAGCUCAGGUCAUGAUCUCACAGCUCGUGAGUUCGAGCCCCGUGUCGGGCU